rnacentral:rRNA from 1 species
GACGAACGCUGGCGGCGUGCUUAACACAUGCAAGUCGAACGGAAAGGCCCUGCUUUUGUGGUGUGCUCGAGUGGCGCACGGGUGAGACACACGUGAGUAACCUGCCCUUGUUUUUGGGAUACCUUCAGGAAACUGGGGCUUAUACCGGAUAGGAGCUCCUGCUGCAUGGGGGGGGUUGGAAUGUUUCGGGGGUUGGGGAUGGACCGCCGGCUUGUCUGUUUGUUGGGGGGGUAGCGGCUUACCAAGGCGUUGGCGGGUGGCCGGCGUGGGGGGGUGACCGGCCACAUUGGAACUGAGAAACGGCCAAGACUCCUACGGGGGGCAGCAGUGGGAAAUAUUGCACAAUGGGCGGAGGCCUGAUGCGGCAACGCCGCGUGCGGGAUGACGGCCUUCGGGUUGUAACCCGCUUUCGCCUGUAACGAAGCGUGAGUGACGGUAAUGGGUAAAGAAGCACCGGCUAACUACGUG